UACGUAGGGUGCAAGCGUUGUCCGGAAUUAUUGGGCGUAAAGAGCUCGUAGGCGGUUUGUUGCGUCGGCUGUGAAAUCCCGAGGCUCAACCUCGGGUCUGCAGUCGAUACGAGCAAACUAGAGUGUUGCAGGGGAGACUGGAAUUCCUGGUGUAGCGGUGAAAUGCGUAGAUAUCUGGAGGAAUACCGGUGGCGAAGGCGGCAUCCUGGACCGGCAUUGACGCUGAGGAGCGAAAGCUAGGGGAGCAAACGGGG
rnacentral:rRNA from 1 species